UACGUAGGGUGCAAGCGUUGUCCGGAAUUAUUGGGCGUAAAGAGCUCGUAGGCGGUCUGUCGCGUCGGAUGUGAAAAUCCAGGGCUCAACCCUGGACCUGCAUUCGAUACGGGCAGACUAGAGUACUGCAGGGGAGACUGGAAUUCCUGGUGUAGCGGUGGAAUGCGCAGAUAUCAGGAGGAACACCGGUGGCGAAGGCGGGUCUCUGGGCAGUAACUGACGCUGAGAAGCGAAAGCGUGGGGAGCGAACAGG
rnacentral:rRNA from 1 species